rnacentral:tRNA from 1 species
UAGCUCAGACGGUAAAGCGUCUGCCUACAAAGCAGGAGACCGGGGUUCGAUCCCUG